UACAGAGGUCUCAAGCGUUGUUCGGAUUCAUUGGGCGUAAAGGGUGCGUAGGCGGCCAGGUAGGUCUGCUGUGAAAACUCGAGGCUCAACCUCGAGACGUCGGCGGAAACCAUCUGGCUAGAGUCCGGAAGAGGAGAGUGGAAUUCCUGGUGUAGCGGUGAAAUGCGCAGAUAUCAGGAAGAACACCCCGUGGCGAAGGCGGCUCUCUGGGACGGUACUGGACGCUGAGGUGCGAAAGCGUGGGGAGCAAACAGG
rnacentral:rRNA from 1 species